AUCCCUGUAGUGUAAUGGAUAGCACGUUGGACUUCUAAUCCAACGGCCGUAGCUUAGAAUCCCACCUGGAAUG